rnacentral:ncRNA from 1 species
ACAAACCUUCGGGGCAGGGUGAGGUAGAGAAAUCUUCCGAUUCCCGAUCGGUGGUAUAACCCACGAGCGCGCCAGCGCAUGAUCCGGUGAAAUUCCGGAGUCGACGGUAUAGUCCGGACGAAAGAAGGUCGCA